UUACCAAACCGAAGCACGCCACGCACAUCCAAAUCGCCGCCGCCGUCGCCAAGUCAAAAAAAAAUAAAAAAUAAAAAUCGCCGCCGCCACCUUGACCAACGGCCGCCGCAUCGCCGUCCACAGCCACGCAUCUGCCAUCCCCGGCUUCCCCUCCGCGGUUCCCUCAUCCGGCUUCGCCGAGUCGUCGCGCAUCUUCGUCCUCCCCUCCGUGGCGUCCUUCGCCGGUCUACCCUCCCCGAUGCGGUCCGCACCUACGGACUCCCCUCCUCCGUCAGCAGCUCCAGUCGCCACCCCCGCAGUGGAAUGAAUCACUCCCACGAGAUGGAGGGAGGCACGCCGUCGACCACGGCGUCAGGGGCGGCCCAGAAGACUUCAAGUUAGUUGGUUCCUCUCCCCGAUGGAACACGCACAUGCGCGCGCGCACACACACAAAGGACGGGAAGGAGGAUAAACAGCGGCACAUGUGGCACGGGAUCAAGGACAUGGGAGUACAGCACAAGGGUGAAGGAUGAAGAAGGCUACCCUGCCAUGUCACUCGUCAACAAGGCCGCAGAGGCUCUCAAGCACUCCUUCAGCUAAUCGGCCAAUACCACCUUGUAAUUAACCUCCUUGCUUCUAUUCAUUCAUCCAUCCAUCUAAAUUUAAUUUUGUUACACCUGGAGCACAAUAGAUUUUAGCGUCAUGUUGACUAAUCUAGACAUAUCAAAGUAUCUCCAAGCACACCACAUGCGCACUUAUUUUUCAAAGGUCUAAACUUUUUACAUUUAUACUUCCUCCGUCCCAAAAUAAGUGUUUUAACUUUGUACAAAGUUAUACUAAGUUUGGACAGAGGGAGUAGUAGCUAUGCACCGAGAAACUUUUCUACAGGAAUGUUGAUCUGAUGCAUAUUUUG